rnacentral:rRNA from 1 species
UUUCGGGGGAAACCCCCGCCUAACGGUUUUUUUAAACCGAACUAGAGUUUGAUCCUGGCUCAGAUUGAACGCUGUCGGCAGGCCUAACACAUGCAAGUCGAGCGGAUGACGGGAGCUUGCUCCUUGAUUCAGCGGCGGACGGGUGAGUAAUGCCUAGGAAUCUGCCUGGUAGUGGCGGACAACGUUCCGAAAGCGGCGCUAAUACCGCAUACGUCCUACGGGAGAAAGUGGGGGAUCUUCGGACCUCACGCUAUCAGAUGAGCCUAGGUCGGAUUAGCUAGUUGGUGAGGUAAAGGCUCACCAAGGCGACGAUCCGUAACUGGUCUGAGAGGAUGAUCAGUCACACUGGAACUGAGACACGGUCCAGACUCCUACGGGAGGCAGCAGUGGGGAAUAUUGGACAAUGGGCGAAAGCCUGAUCCAGCCAUGCCGCGUGUGUGAAGAAGGUCUUCGGAUUGUAAAGCACUUUAAGUUGGGAGGAAGGGCAGUAAGUUAAUACCUUGCUGUUUUGACGUUACCGACAGAAUAAGCACCGGCUAACUCUGUGCCAGCAGCCGCGGUAAUACAGAGGGUGCAAGCGUUAAUCGGAAUUACUGGGCGUAAAGCGCGCGUAGGUGGUUCGUUAAGUUGGAUGUGAAAGCCCCGGGCUCAACCUGGGAACUGCAUCCAAAACUGGCGAGCUAGAGUAUGGUAGAGGGUGGUGGAAUUUCCUGUGUAGCGGUGAAAUGCGUAGAUAUAGGAAGGAACACCAGUGGCGAAGGCGACCACCUGGACUGAUACUGACACUGAGGUGCGAAAGCGUGGGGAGCAAACAGGAUUAGAUACCCUGGUAGUCCACGCCGUAAACGAUGUCAACUAGCCGUUGGAAUCCUUGAGAUUUUAGUGGCGCAGCUAACGCAUUAAGUGACCGCCGGGAGUCGCCCCCGAGGA